AGUGAAUCACUGGUUCCUGACUGAAGCCUUUGAAUCUCUUUUUUUUUCUUUUUUACUUUGUAAUCAGUAUAUUAAGGAGACAUCCAUACAUUUCAAUAGUUGCUUAAAUUCUGAUAUCUGGAUUUAAGCUUAUGAACAUGACUUUAAACAUACAGUUAAAGCUAUUCAUUGUAAUUUGCUAUACUACCAACAUUGAAUUACAGUUACUUUGGAGCAAAUGUUUUAAAGUAAAUCUGUAACACACCUAAGGAACACCUUCCUAUGUUAUACAUGCAACUUCUCAAUGUACAGGUCUCUUCAAUGGUUUCUGCUACCCAACUCUGAAGAAGCCACUACUCAAGGGCAUAUCAUGGUCCAAAGGGAAAAAGAAUGUUAGCUACGACUGGCCAACAUAAUAUAUAUAUGCAUAUUUUAUAUACGAACACACAU